ACAAAAGUUCACUUUUCGGCGAACUGCCAUCUUCCAGUAAUUCACCAAAAUGACAAACACAAAGGGCAAGAGGAGAGGCACUCGAUCUAUGUUCUCCAGGCCUUUUAGAAAACGUGGAGUUGUUCCUUUGGCCACAUAUAUAUGAAUCUAUAAGAAAGGUGAUACUGUAGACAUCAAGGGAAUGGGUACUGUUCAAAAAGGAAGCCCUGCAAGUGUUACCAUGGCAAAACUGGAAGAGUCUACAGUGUUACCCAGCAUGCUGUUGGCAUUGUUGUAAACAAACAAGUUAAGAUUCUUGCCAAGAGAAUUAAAGUGCGUAUUGAGCAUAUCAAGCACUCUAAGAGCUGAGAUAGCUUACUGAAACUCGUGAAGGAAAAUGAUCAGAAAAAGAAGCCAAAGAGAAAGGUACCUGUGUUCAACUGAAGCACCAGCCUGCCCCACCCAGAGAAACACACUUUGUGAGAACCAAUGGGAAGAAGCCUGAGCUGCUAGAACUUAUUCACUAUGAAUUCAUGGCAUAAUAGGUGUUAAAAAACAAGAAACAAACAAAAAACCUCUGGACU